GUUCGGCUUUCGGCUCACCCCUGCUUAUGCGCCUUCUCUUCCUCAGUCGUUUUUCAACUGAGCACUGCAGUGAUGACAGGUGCGUUGAUGAGGUAGUGGUGGUGGUGGUGGGGGGGGGCCGGUGCCGUGUGGGCGGCACCCCAUGCACUCGCCUUCCACCGUGAAUGCCAUCCUUGCAGGAGGCGGCACAAGCGGCGCCGGGGCUCUUCUGGUCUCUUUUUCUUAUGGCCUGUUCGUUUCCCGGAGCCUGCGUUUUCCUUCUUUGUGCUUCUGCACAUCCGCCCUGUCGCGGCUGCCGCUCUCUCAUCAGGUGCAAUGUGGGGAUGCUUCGAUACGCACAUCUGCCCGGAGCUGCGCGGCGACCGUCGUUAAGGACACGUAUUAAACAUGCGUGGAGCGUAUGUUGUGCCGGGGCAGCACAUCUUGUUGUAUACGUGACUCCGUUCUUGUUAUCCUUCUUGCUUUGAGGGGGGCCGAUGCGGGUGCGUAUGGGCAUUCUAUAGCACGGCAGACCCUAUGUGGCAGCGCCACGAUCCACGCCUAGCCAUUCGAUGCCUCUCCGCUGCGCACGCAACCUCACGGCACUGCUUUUCACGCACUGCGGAAGGUCCACGUUGCUGGGGGCGUGAGAAGCAACGCAAGAUAUCAUGCCAGCGUGCACGCAGACGCGUAUUUCAUAAGGCGGCGGCAUGCGAAGAGCUGGAGAUGACGCACUUCAUGAAACACGCGGUUUGCUCACACACACCCAUACCCAUGAAGCUACACAUAUAGGCUCCCAUGGAAGAACAUUCGCAGGUCCUCACGGGCGCACCUCCUUCACACACACACACACACACACACACACACACACACACACACGCACCGGCAUGCGCGCCCCCUGUAUCAUAAAAUCCGUGGCUUCAUUCGUUCUUGUCUCUUAUCUGCACUCCUUGCGACGACUUACUGCUAUCCACGUCGCUCGUGUUGCAUUCAGCUCAUCUUCUUUUACCGUCGUAUGCCUCGCCUUAGGCGUCCCCUCGGCGUUUCGCGUGUUUUUCUGUUUUCGACGUUUUUUUUUGAAUCGCUUGCAAAAGGCCUGUCGCUGUCGGGGAAGGUAAGGCGGGAGGAAGGCUGGCUCCGCUCCUUGCACCCCCUCUACCACCGUUUCGAACGAUUUCCCUCUUAGCAUGAGCACCAUCAACACGAGGGAGAGAGGCGAUGCAUGCAUCUCAGCACCAUUCUAACUCCGUCGCCAAGCGAGGCGGCGGCGCCAGCGUCGAAGAUGCUUCAUCGCGGGGUAGGCCAUCACCUCUGUGCAUCUGAAGGACAACGCGGGUAGAGCGCAAAGCAGCCCCUGCCUCCUCUCUUACUCUCGCGCUGCCUCUCGCAUGCAGCCCCCAAGCCAAUAACAAGCCCUCAGCCGCUGCUGUCACCACCUAAACGAAAGCGGACCCGCUUGCCUUUCUCUGCACGUGAAGGGUGCGCGCAUGUGCUGUGAAACACCCACAUCCCUGUGCGUAUGCUCCCCCUCUUCCUUGCACACCACUUCCUCACUUCUCCGUCGAGCGCGUCACCUCACACAG
rnacentral:misc_RNA from 1 species